GACGAACGCUGGCGGCGUGCUUAACACAUGCGAGUCGAACGGAAAGGCCCUGCUUGCAGGGUACUCGAGUGGCGAACGGGUGAGUAACACGUGGGUGAUCUGCCCUGCACUUCGGGAUAAGCCUGGGAAACUGGGUCUAAUACCGGAUAGGAGCCAUUUUUAGUGUGAUGGUUGGAAAGUUUUUUCGGUGUAGGAUGAGCUCGCGGCCUAUCAGCUUGUUGGUGGGGUAAUGGCCUACCAAGGCGGCGACGGGUAGCCGGCCUGAGAGGGUGGACGGCCACAUUGGGACUGAGAUACGGCCCAGACUCCUACGGGAGGCAGCAGUGGGGAAUAUUGCACAAUGGGCGCAAGCCUGAUGCAGCGACGCCGCGUGGGGGAUGACGGCCUUCGGGUUGUAACUCCUUUCGCUAGGGACGAAGCUUUUUGUGACGGUACCUAGAUAAGAAGCACCGGCUAACUACGUG
rnacentral:rRNA from 1 species